UUAAGGAUACUUCAUAAUCCAACAUCAUUUCAUAUAUACAUCAUGAGAAAUCAUACUUUAACUCACAAUGCUAUCCACUUUACAUAGGAUCAUCACAAGAUCACAUAAAACUCAUUCACAUCAUUCCUUCACAUAUAGCUUCACAUAAAACUCAUUCACAUCAUUCCUUCACAUAUAGCUUCACAUAAAACUCAUUCACAUCAUUCCUUCACAUAUAGCUUCACAUAAAACUCAUUCACAU
rnacentral:lncRNA from 1 species